AGCAGCCGCGGUAAUUCCAGCUCCAAUAGCGUAUAUUAAAGUUGUUGCAGUUAAAAAGCUCGUAGUUGAAUUUCGGGACCAAUCUGCCGGUCGUGCCUCCGGUACGCACUGGUUUUAUUGGUUUCUCCCUUCUGACGAACCAUGAUGUCAUUAAUUUGGUGUCAUGGGGAAUCAGGACUGUUACUUUGAAAAAAUUUAGAGUGUUUAUAGCAGGCUCACGCUUGAAUACAUUAGCAUGGAAUAAUGAAAUAGGACGUUUGACCCUAUUUUGUUGGUUUCUAGGAUCGACGUAAUGAUUAAUAGGGAUAGUUGGGGGCAUUAGUAUUCAAUUGUCAGAGGUGAAAUUCUUGGAUUUAUUGAAGACUAACUACUGCGAAAGCAUUUGCCAAGGAUGUUUUCAUUAAUCAAGAACAAAAGUUAGGGGAUCGAAGACGAUCAGAUACCGUCGUAGUCUUAACCAUAAACUAUGCCGACUAGGGAUCGAUGAUGUUAUUUUUUAAUGACAU
rnacentral:rRNA from 1 species